GGCGCUUGUGACCACGCCCCCGGGAAGGAGAGGCCCAGUCAGCCCCGCCCCCUCGAAAAUCGAGAAGCCCCGCCUUCGCGUGAGAAGUCCUGACUCCAAGUUCCGCCCUCUUACGACAGGAAAGUCCCGCCUCUUCAGCCUGACUCCCUCUAGGAUCUGAAAGCGUCCGUGGCCCCGCGCCAGCCCCGCCCCGAGAAACCCUGCCUCGGAC
rnacentral:lncRNA from 1 species